AUGGCUAUAAAGAUUGUCACUGAACCUUCUAAACUACCAAAUAGCCUCCUCAAACCUUCACGUACCGAUGCAAUAGUAAUUGGAUUUGACUGUCAGGGUAUUGAUGGCAUCAGUAUCUUGCUGCUUGCGUUGCCCGAUGCUGUCUACUUAGUUGAUGCUAUUAAGGGUGGACAAGAGUUAGUUCAAGCUUGCAAGAUUGCACUUGAAUCGAUUGCCAUCACCAAAACACUUUUUGAUCAAUAUGGCAUCAGACUUCGUAAUGUGAUGGACACCCAGCUGGGCCCAGCUUGUCUGCACAUAAUAAGGGACAGUUCUUUUGCAACUUAUAGGUGGCUUAAUCGUGAAAUUAAGCCAAGCUUGGGGGUGGGUUUAACUUCUAGCCACCACCACCUCUUUCACGAUGGAAAAAGCUCGGGCCGCCGCUGUCACCACCUAUCCCUACGGCAACGUCGUCGCCGCUUGAAGCUCCGCCUUUGCCGGCACCCUUCGGUUGUCGGCAGAGGCAAUUCGUCUAGCCACCAAGCAUCUUGCUUCGGUUGCAAAGCUCCUCGUUUGGCCCCGUUGACCAUGACACUCUCCGACGGUGACCCCUCUUCCUGUCCAAUCGACACCAUCGUCCUUCCGCUGCCACCAUUCCGCACGUCUCCAACACAACACCCACCCUUCUCGUCUCUCUCUCCCUCUGGAAUCCGGAUCCCAUUGGUCUCGCCACCGGACAUUCUAGGCCACCAUGGUUGGGGCGACGAUUACUCCGGCGACGGGUGCUGCGGGGCUCUCCACUAUGCGUGUGAGCUCAUGCAAGAAAGGGUGGUGCCGGUGUUGCGAGAUAGUGCUACAAGACACGCGUCAAUGCCCACAGCCGUCGGAGUCGAAGAAUCGUGGCGAUACUGCGACAACGUGGACGAGCAUGACGGGGCAGCGGCGAAAGCAUCGAAUGCUGCAAGGACACUCGCCGACCGAAGCACUAGUGCUGUGAGGCUGCUCGUCGGAAGCAUCAAUGCUGCGAGGUCGCUCGCCGACCGAAGUGCCAGUGCUGCAAGGUUGCUCGCUGGAAGCAUAGGAUGUUGCGAGGUCGCUCGCCGGCGGGAGCAUUGGUGCUGCGAGGCCGCUCGUCGGGAAGCAUCAGGAUGA
rnacentral:rRNA from 1 species